AACUUGAUAGCUCAGUUGGUAGAGUAGUAGGACGAAAUCCUUUUGUUGUGAGUUCGAUCCUCACCCGAGUUC